CCGAAGGCAGAUGACCCUACAUAAAAACAACUGAUUGUCAUAACUUGCAACACCGUAUAGAAUAAUGCAAAACUUCAUUUUCAGCCCAAUGCGAACGGGACGUCUUGAAAGACCAAAAGUAUAAAACUAACGAAAAAGCAAUAAGGCUUUAGUCUGACACAUAAGUUUAUCACUAUUACAUUGCGUAUGACUCAGCAAGAGGGAAACAUGGAUAUGCUAUCAAUGAAUAGUGGACUUAAAGGCACAGACAAACUAAGAAACGAAAUCAGCAAGAAGCAAGAAACAUAUUUAAUCCACCAACAUGUUAAGCCACAAAGAUAGAAAGCAAUAGGCUACAGAUGCAAAAAAGUGCUAAAUAUUACAGCCCGGGAAUGAGAGGACACAACUGGAAUGGACUAGCACCAAAACACACUUACCACCAAAGG
rnacentral:lncRNA from 1 species